UACGUAGGUGGCGAGCGUUACUCGGAAUUACUAGGCGUAAAGCGCGUGUAGGCGGGAGGUUAAGUCUGCUGUUAAAUCUCACAGCUCAACUGUGAAAUGCCGGCGGAUACUGGCCUUCUUGAAUUCGGUAGAGGUAACUGGAAUUCCAUGUGUAGCGGUGAAAUGCGUAGAUAUAUGGAAGAACGCCAAAGGCGAAAGCAGGUUACUGGGCCGCAAUUGACGCUGAGACGCGAAAGCUAGGGGAGCAAACAGG
rnacentral:rRNA from 1 species